UGUUUACGGAACUGAAAACGGACCACACCAAGAGUGUUGCCAGGGAGACGCGGGCGUCGGGGGAGGAGGAAGGGGAGGGCCGCAGGAAGGAGGAGCCAGGAACUCUCGGAACCGGACCUCCCAGUGCUGGUGCUCCACGAGCGGGGUGUGCGCACUCGCCCAUUUGAGUAACGCCCCUUCCUCCUGCGCGCGAGUGCCUGCUAAAAACACAUCCCACAGAAGUGACGUUAACAGCAUCUCCAGGAAGGCUGCAGUGACGCUUCUCCAGCUGAUGAAACAGGGGGUUGUCCCCACCUUGUGCCUGUUGCAGGGGGUCUCCAAACCAGACCAGUGAGCAGCCCCAGGUGUG
rnacentral:lncRNA from 1 species